GACGAACGCUGGCGGCGUGCUUAACACAUGCAAGUCGAACGGAAAGGCCCUGCUUUUGUGGGGUGCUCGAGUGGCGAACGGGUGAGUAACACGUGAGUAACCUGCCCUUGACUUUGGGAUAACUUCAGGAAACUGGGGCUAAUACCGGAUAGGAGCUCCUGCUGCAUGGUGGGGGUUGGAAAGUUUCGGCGGUUGGGGAUGGACUCGCGGCUUAUCAGCUUGUUGGUGUGGUAGUGGCUUACCAAGGCUUUGACGGGUAGCCGGCCUGAGAGGGUGACCGGCCACAUUGGGACUGAGAUACGGCGCAGAAUCCUACGGGAGGCAGCAGUGGGGAAUAUUGCAGAAUGGGCGGAAGCCUGAUGCAGCAACGCCGCGUGCGGGAUGACGGCCUUCGGGUUGUAAACCGCUUUCGCCUGUGACGAAGCGUGAGUGACGGUAAUGGGUAAAGAAGCACCGGCUAACUACGUG
rnacentral:rRNA from 1 species